CACCGGUCAGAAGGAACUAAACGUGAGUGAUGACUGUGAAUUUCAAUUAAGACAGACGUUUUUUUUUCAAAAGAAUCGGCAAAGCCUGCUAGAAACUUUGGGAGAACAGCCAGCAAUGCCACCAAGGACACCCUCCCACCAUGGACACCGAGGUUGGGUAAGCCCCCAAAACCUUCAACAAGAUCAUCUGAGUUAAAACAUGAAGGGUGUGUGGAUAUCUAAUGCUAACUGAAAGAAUGCUGAGCUUAACAGCAUACUGCAGCCUAGACAUUUCAUCUGAAGUACUCAAGAAACCAUGUGUAUGCCAACGUCGACAGGUAACAGAAAAAUGAAGAGGCUGAUGUGUUCUAUAUCUCCAAAAAAGGGAAGCAAAGAAUAAAAAGUAUUUUCUUACAUUUCAAUUGAUGCUGUUGAUCUGAAACCUAAAAACUAAUGCGUAAUGGAAAAUGGAUAAAACCUCCAGAAGAAAGUGGUUGCAAUCCUUUGUAACUGUAUCUACUCAUGGAGGAUCAUGUGCAAAUAGGUGUCACUUCAAUCAGGUGGGAAAGACAUAUUUUGUGCUAAUACCAAGUAUAUUGUUACAUCCUCCAUCCCACCCGGAACAAACAAACAAAUUGCUAUGAGUGCUUCUGUAAAUUGGACUGAACUCAAUCAUGUCGAAAUACAUAGCAGCAGCAGCGACUUAUCGAAACU